UACAUCAAGUAAUAUAAAAUUACUGUAAUGAUUGUUUUUGAAAAUAUUCUCAGGGCCCUCAAAUUUUUCUUCAAUUUUCUCGUAAAUAACAGAUUUUAAAAAAAGUCAAGCAAAAAUGUGUUUUGUAAAAAUAAACCAUGAGCAUCAUUUAUCUACAAACAAGAUUGCAAUUUUUGUCGAGUUAUUGGUCAUAGGGAGAGGGAGUGUCCCAAGAAAGCAGAGGUUCCAACAGUUCCAACCCAACCAACCGAAUCAGAGGCUCCAGCAGCAGUGGCUCCGGUAGCAAAGACUGAAAGCAGAAACUCCUGUAGAGCCAUCUGGUGCUACCCCUUCAGGGAAAAAAUAAAUAUUAUUGUAUAAAUUAUUUUUAACAUUUUUUGAAUUCAUUAAUUUAUAGUUGGUUUCGCUUUUGUUAUAAGUCUAAUAUGAACUCAUUUUAUUUAUUACAAGAUUAAGGUUUUGACAGAUUUUUUAGUAAAAAAUUAAUUAAAAUGUGUUCUAUGUAAGUAAAAUGAAUAAACAUUUGAAUAUUACAGCGUUUGCGAUAA